GUUAAAGUCACCUCUGAUGGGACAUGCUUUUCCAAAAAAUGGCACUGUGACACUGCAGGAAUCGGAGAGAUGGCAGCUGAUAAUGCGCACAGUGCAGAGAAAAAAGUGACACGGCAAGUUUGGGCUCAACUGAGGGCUUCGUGAUCGGAGGUGAAGACCAACAAAAGCCACUUGUGAAUGUUG
rnacentral:lncRNA from 1 species